UGGAAUGAUGGAUAUCCAAGAAUAGAGCCAUAAUAAUUGCAUGUUUAUGAGAUUAAAUAGCAUUAUACGUAUAUAUUUUCUAUUACGUAAAUGUAAAAUAAGUAGGAAUUGUAUUUCAUUUAUGGGAUUAUUUUUGUGUUGAAGCAAGCCUCAAGUUAAGUCUAGUCUGGACAUGUAUUAAAAGCCAAAGUUUGUAAGUGAGAUAUGAUUCCCAUGAUAAUGUCUCUUGUUUACUUAAACAUUCUAAAUAAUAUUAGACUUAUUUCAGAUGCAGCAGGAGUUAGAAGAAAAUAUAACUCUAUAUAGCAAAUGAUAUCCCUUUCCAUUGUUUGAUUAAUAGAUACUACAUUUAGUAUUUUUUCUUAGACACAUCUAGUAAAAGAUGUGAAAACAUAAACAUUUGUACUGAAGAGCAUACUUAUGCCUCAUGAAUUCGUCAUGUUCCAUAGCCUUAAGAACAUCUCAUGACAUCUCUGUAUGGCUUUUUUUCAGACUCCACACUUCAUUCCUGCAUCCCUGUGGAAGUGUCCAGAGGCAGGCUGAAACUGUUCACAGAAUAACCAAACCCUCCUCAACUUCUCAGGUUUAUGGCCAAAAUGGGACAGCCGUUUCAGUUCAUAAGCAAUCACUUGACAGAUAACUUUGGACAUACCUACUGCCCAAGGACCCCUGGGACUCCUACGAAGGAUGCCACUAUGGUGAGGAGAGAGGAGACCACUCAUCGGUACUACAUGGCAGCGUAGCCUGGCAUCAGGAGGCCUGAGGAUCUGCAGGAUCUUGGGGUUUCACUUUCCACAUCGGUACAAUGAGGAUAAAAUGGCACCUGACUGCAUACCUGGAGAGCGUUUACAGAAAGCAUACUCUAUACAGGAUGCCUGUGGAGGGGACACCAAGGGCCCGUGUGGGAAAGGACUUGACCGAGGCCUGCUGCCAGCUCUAGGUGCCUUUCACCGUCCCUCCAGCGACUGCAUCCUGGGAAUCCCAAAGCAGGAAUCAACAUCUCUCAAAGGGCUUCUUUAACAAACCAGUUUGUGAAAUGUUUAACUACGGAAAGCCUUACACAGCAUUUGCAGUCUUCAUCUGGUUGUAUUUACAUUAAAUCACCUUUGUUGCAAAGAAUAAAAUAAAAUGAAAUUUAAAGUGUUCUGGAAAA